AGUGAACGCUGGCGGUAGGCCUAACACAUGCAAGUCGAACGGCAGCACAGUAAGAGCUUGCUCUUACGGGUGGCGAGUGGCGGACGGGUGAGGAGUACGUCGCCAUCUACUUUUUCGUGGGGAAUAACGUAGGGAAAAUUACACAAAUACAGCAGACGACCUACGGGUGAAAUCAGGGGAUCUUCGGACCUUGCGCGAUUGAAUGAGCCGAUGUCGGAGUAGCUAGUUGGGGGGGUAAAGGCACACCAAGGCGACGAUCCGUAGCUGGUCUGAGAGGAUGAUCGGCCACACUGGAACUGAGACACGGUCCAGACUCCUACGGGAGGCAGCAGUGGGGAAUAUUGGACAAUGGGCGCAAGCCUGAUCCAGCCAUACCGCGUGGGUGAAGAAGGCCUUCGGGUUGUAAAGCCCUGUUGUUGGGAAAGAAAAGCAGCAGGUUAAUACCCCGCUGUUCUGACGGUACCCAAAGAAUAAGCACCGGCUAACUUCGUG
rnacentral:rRNA from 1 species